rnacentral:rRNA from 1 species
ACGCUCGACACCUACGGAAGGCAGCAGUGGGGAAUAUUGCACAAUGGGGGAAACCCUGAUGCAGCGACGCCGCGUGGAGGAAGAAGGUCUUCGGAUUGUAAACUCCUGUUGUUGGGGAAAAAGAGGAUGGUACCCAACAAGGAAGUGACGGCUAACUACGUGCCAGCAGCCACGGUAAUCUGAGCGGGCUGGCAAGGC